ensembl:lncRNA
CACGGCACUGCCGAACGGCCGCGCACAGCGCACCGCAGCGAGGGCCCGGGACCGUGCGGGCCGCGGAGGACAGAGCAGCCGUGAGGAGAGGCAGCGGGGCCGGCUGAUGGAGCUUUUAAUUGGGGGCGGGAGGGGGGGGAGUGGGAGGGAAAGGAAAGGAAGGUCCUCUGGAAAUAUCUUCCGGGAUUAGAACGAGGAGCGCUGGACUCCCAUCUCGAUGCGGCCCUGUAGGAAAGCGCUGCGGGGACCGCGAAAAAGCUGCUCGGAAGGACCCACGGGGCUGAAAACGGGGAUUGGAAAAGAAAAAAAAAAAAAAGUAGAUGGUGUGUGUGACAAAAAAAGCUGGGUGAUUCUGUUUUCUCAUGCCCUCGCUCCUCCACCAGCUGCACAGCCAAGCGCAGGCUGCUUGGCCCUUAUAACUAUCUUGGCACGGAGUCAAAAGCUGAUAAGCAUUUGGGCGAGACAGCUCAACUGCUGUGCUGGAAGAAAAACAGCUGCCAUGAUUUCUGUUUGAUUGAGAGCGCUUACACACACGCACAAAAAACACAUCGGGCUGCAGAGACGGGCCACGAAUGCCUGAGGAUUCAGCUUCAGAAGAGCAAUGCACGUUUCCUUAAGGGAAAGAAAAAAAAAAAAAAAGUUUUAUGCAGUUUUGCCUCCGUUCCUCCUCCCCUUUUUAAGGAAAAUGUACUGCGUAGACUCGCUCCUCUCCUUCCCAUCCCCCUCCAUAACCUCAAGCAAACUCGAGGAAUUGUGCCAAAAGUCCCGUUGCUAGUUACUGAGUGCGUUUUUUUCAAACGUCCCUUUGAUACUUCUUCCCCUUGUGCUUGCCAUGGAAUAUGCAAGUAAGAUAAUCUUUCCAUUACUUACCAAAAGUAAUUAAAAAUGAAAAGGGCUUCUAGCAAACCUUCCUUUUCCUACUUUUUUUUUUUUUUUUUCCCUCUGAAGGGGCAGGAGAAGGGAGGCGAGGGAGAGAAGAAUAUUUUUUCUCUUUGCGGAGUCCAACAUUUGGCUUUUUCCAUUUGUGGCAGAUCACUGUAACGCUAUUGUAAAACAACUUCCUGCCCCUUUUGGCUCCGGUUCCAGAAGCUGCUAGGCUAAGUUCAUAGCGCAAACUUUUUUUCCCCCCUUGCCGAAGAAGAAAGACAAAAAAAAAUAAAUGUCCUGCAAAUGAUUCUCCUCCUUCUCCGGCUGAUGGACUCACAAGGUGAAUUCAUUGCAGCUCUGUAAGAAUGUCACACAAGAGGCAGCGCUAUCCCAGCUGGAUAAUUCAUGAGCCGAAAGAUCGCUGGUGUAGCACAUACACCCUCCUGCUUUCCCAUUGCUCUCGCAUUCCGAGGUGACCUGCUAAACCCUCCCUUCCCUUCCUCUGGAUGCUGGGUCCGAGGAAAAUGCCCACCGAGGACUGCUGAACCCUCCCUGCUAGGAAAGAGAUGUAGCAGUCUGUGACGCGAGCCAAAAGGGAGAAAAGAAGGCCUCCACAACUUGCUCUCUCACGAUCUCCCUCUCCCUCUGUUUCUCUCAUAGCAACAGCAUUUCUUGGUACGCCUGCUUUGGCAUACAUCAGCAUUUCUACCCAUCCAAGUGUCCUUUUGCGUCACAUCUCGCCAUUUCACUCAACCAAUGAGAUCUCCUGGUUGCAGUAAAAAUAUAUAUACUUUUUCUGUUAUUGGUAUAUUCAAAUUUUUUUAAGUGCUUUCCUAACAAAAAGCGUUGUGGAGCAUUUGCUUUGCCCUUCGUAAAAAAAAAAAAAGAAAAGAAAAAAAGGACUGCAGGAUUCAACCUCGUGAAGUCUUCUUUGUGGAAAGCACGUUACCAUCAGAAAAAAGGGAAAAAGGGAUUACAUGGCUACUUAAGGAAAGUUGUAGUUGUCCCCCUGAUUUAAUAUUUAUUUUGCUUAUGCUAUCGAUGCUCCCCUGAUAUACUUUUAACGCAGCCGGACAGUUUCAGCUCACUGGAAAAGUCAAUACCACGCUGUUUCUAACACUUUAAAAAGUAUUCCUGAGGAAAAAAAGAUACUGAUGUCUUAUUCCGCUGAGUAUUGAUUGUGAGGUGAUAGAAAAAGCGAGAUGGAAAAACAGUAGAUGUGUGUUCCUAUUCCUUGCAACUCGCAGAUCCUCACCCCCCCCCCCCCCCCCACACACACACUUAGUGGCUGCUCUCAAACCUACUGCUUUGAAAUGCGAGUUCCUCCAAAAAAUAGAAGAGGUCUUCACAGCCACAGAGGUUUUUUUUAAGAUGCAUUUCCCUCUUACAUAAACUCACUGACUUCUAAAAAUAUAGUAUUGAAGUGAUCUGCUGUGGUAAUGACAGUGACAGACAGGCUUACUUACAGUAGGCUUGUAACGCAGCCAUCCCAAGAGCUGCGUGCACUCUGCCUGAUACAAUUGCUACAAGCAAGAAUUACAAAGAACAGGGUAUCCUGCAUUUAGCAGGACAUGCUUUCCCCCUGUAUAUUAUAAAGUAUAUUAAAACCCAUCUCAUUGUUUUCAGACAUGACACUCCAGACACAACGCAGUAGAUGUGAUUACAUCUGCUCUAUUAAAAUGCACAAUAUUAGCUAAGUCUAGAAAGCACAGAGUGGCAUGUGGGUCUCCGAACGGCUGGCUGAGCCACAUCGUGAAUGCACUGCAGUGACAUAUUUAGGGAACCUCUGCUGCACAUUUUUAUCCGGCCUCAAAUCUCACGAAAAUGCUCACCACUGGCAUUCUGAGGAGAAUAAACAGUUCCUUUGUAAGCCAGAUACAUGUUUUAUGGUCUGCACUUACCAGUUUCUAUUUUUUUUUUUAAUAGUGUGAAACCACAAAACGUUUUUAAUAUUUAUUUUUCGGGAAUUACAGUAAAAACAUACUAGAGAUUAUCAGGAUGUAUCUGACGAGAUAUUUGAGCAGCAGCUUUCCCACAAAGUUUUAUGUUGGUAAAAUCAUACCUAGGAAUUCUGAACUCUUCUUCUAAUAACUUUUGUGUCUGCUGUGUAUGGGCUGUCGAUGUGUGUUCAUAAAUCUUGAGUGCUCGGAAAGUAAAAGUAAGCGUAACUUCUGGAGUACAGCCUUAGCAACAGAUAGCCGCAGUAUCCCGCUAAAAACUUUGCAUUUUUAUUUUGAAAUAAUGACGUCUGUGAUAGUGUUUAUUUUUAGCAGACAUGCACAGAUGAGAAACGUUAAGAGAUUAUAAGUGAUAGUGCAUUCAACAACUUCUGAUGCCAGUGUAAUAUAAAAGACAGACCGCUGUUUUAAGAAAGGCUUAGGCUCACAUGUACGAAUAGCUUAGCUGGCAGUGUUUUUCUUGCAUUUAAUGGGAUCUCCCAAUGACUUUUUGCCCUUUCUCCGAGACACCAUUUUCAGCACCUUAUUUAUUAUUGUAUUUUUAAUAUAAAAAUACGGUUCUCCUUUUCCGUUACUCUUUGUGCCUAUCCCUUUCUCACUUUUUAUUCAUAAAAAUGCAAAGACAGCUGAGUUUCAUCUCUGCUUCUGCCUGUCUUGUAACUGGGAUAACUGCUGCACUUCGAGGGUUAAAAGUGCAUCUCAUUUACACAACUGCAGCUCAGCCUCGCUCACUGUAUAUUAUCCUUCUUCAAGGAGAUAGACAAAUACAUCAUAUCUGUCACCAUAGCUGUAAAAUAAGAUGGCAAGUCGUCUAAAUGAAGGUUACUGCUGUUCUGAAAAAUAAGGAUUCAGGAAAGCAAUUAAGGGAAGCCUAACUCGCAAGCUUCACUUAAGAGAAAUGGAAGUCCAAAAAAGGAAGCAGAGGAAUUCUUUUAACACUCAUUAUCCCUGAAUAAUUUGAAAUGAUGUGCAUUCUAAAACAGCCAUAGUUUUGAACUGAAGUUUGUUUGUGCUAUUACACAAUUUUAUAACACUUUUCUCUCCCUUUAUCACAAGUUCUGCCUCAUUUACGCAUACUUCUCUAAUGCACUAAUUUGUUUUCUUUCAUUUGAAUUUGGAGUGGUAUCACAUCUACAGUUUAUGCAGCACAGACAUCAAAACAUUUCUAUACAGAUCAGUGAUUUUUUCUUUCUAAAAUAAUAUCGAUCAUUUUCAAUAUUGGAGGGUUUCUAAUCUAACAACCUUCAGAAAUGUGUAAUAAAAUAUGGCCAGGUAGACGUUUUUUAGAAAAAUACUCCAAUCGAAUUUAUUACACUUUUAAGAUAAAGGUAUCCAUAAGAGUGAAAAUUCAUAUUUUUGAAUUUUUACUUAUUAUAUCUGUAAAAUAAUGCCAGUGUAUGUCAUGCAAAGCGUCACCAGGAAUAUCUGUACUUAAUAUUUGUAGAGAUUUUUUUUUUUUAAAAAGCAUCUUUUAAAAAAUAAAAAUAGAAGCAAAGCAGUUUGCCCAUUGUUUCCUGAUGGGAUUAAAGGUGCUCUGUGGGAUUAUAGCUGAUGUACGCAUCAUAGAAGCGUACUUCAUUGAAUAACUCACAUUAAUUCCAGAGGAUCAGUGGCAUAUUAACCUAGAGGGGAAAAAACAUUCGAAAUACCAAAUACAGACAAUUUGGAUGUAAGUGAUUCAGAAAUGUAAAGGCACAGCUGAGCAAGGGUGCAUUUGCAGCAUCCAUCCCUACCAACAUAAUGAAGCAUUUUGCAAAAACGUUUCCUUCGGUGCACUGUAUAUUAACGAUAAUGUUUUACAGCAAACUUGGCACGAAGCUGGUACCAACACAAAGGAAACUCUGGCAGUAGGACAAGCUUUUUGUUUUUUAAUAUAUUUUUUCUCCCAGAGGAAGGAAGUAUCAAACAGUGCAUGACAUGAGCAGUUUUUUAAAGGGUGUUACCAACGCAAUUUUGUUUAUCGUGCAACUAUUUGAUUUUUUUUAACUACACAGAGCUGUAUGCUCCAAACUGGUGAUAUGAAUAUUUUUCUUGUAUACCAUUCCUACUGAUGAAAAUUUACAUCUCAAACAACAAAUCAAAACCCCAGAUAAGAUUUUGUUUACUGGCUUCUCCUUAUUUAUCAUAAAUGUGCUGUAAACUUCCUGGAGGCUAAUUUAACUGCAGUAUAUAUUUGUGAGGCUGGAAGCUAGGCAGCGGCGAAGUCACGUCAGAUAAGGAGAAAUCUCCUCAGCUGUAAAACAGUGUGAUUUUGUUUUAUUGACAGUGCAACUAAACUUUAAACCACAUCCACUUUACCCAGGCAUACGACUUGAUGCUCUGACAGACUGCAGUCCGUUCCUCACGCUGAGCCCAGACAAGGCAGCUCCACGCUGCAGAUCGCUGUCUCCUAUGAUUUUGGGAGCCCACAUCAUACCGGCCCCCCCCGGCGCCCCAGCACCGCUGCCCCCAGCUGCCCGCAGCCCCAUAGGUGCGGGUGCCUCCCAGCCCGGUCCCGAUCCUCUUGCUGCUGCCCAGGGGCUCCCAGCCCGAGCACUGCCUCGCGACAGCAGGCAGCCAGCCCAGGUCACAAAUGGCCACCACGUUGGUAAUUCCAGCAGGAAAAAAAAACCCAGCUUUUUCCUCUGGCUACACACAGGAAAAAGAGAUGGCGCUUAUCCCAGGAGAUGCCGUAUUUCACAUGCAGUGCUUAACCUUAGAAACGUUAAAAGGACUUACCAUCCACUAUUCCUGUACCUUCAGCAGUGACUGACAACUCCAGUUCUCCAAGUUCAAGUGCUCUGCUCCAGCACUACUUUUCUUCUGAUUUCACUAGGAACGCAGAGUUACAACAAGCUAUUGGAUUUUAAAACACACCCCUGUUUAUUCAAAUGGGCAGGUCUGCUUAAAAUUGCAUGCCCUGAAGAAAUAGCUACUAGGGGAGAAAGGGGGGGGAGUGAGAGAAUUAAAAUACAAGUAUAUGUAAAAAAGAAAGUAAAU